GCCAGGAGGGGUGGUUUUGGGGUGCUGCUGCGGGCAGCAGUCAUGAGGCGCGACGUGCGCAUCCUGCUGCUGGGCGAGGCCCAGGUGGGGAAGACUUCUCUGAUCCUGUCGCUGGUCGGCGAGGAGUUUCCCGAGGAGGUCCCUGCCCGCGCGGAGGAGAUAACCAUCCCCGCCGACGUCACCCCAGAGAAGGUGCCCACCCAUAUCGUGGAUUACUCAGAAGCGGAGCAGACAGAGGAGGAACUUCAGGAGGAGAUCCACAAGGCAAACGUGGUGUGUGUGGUGUACGAUGUGUCUGAGGAAGCCACCAUUGAGAAGAUCCGAACCAAGUGGAUUCCCCUCGUGAAUGGCAGGACGGCAACAGGGCCCAGGUGACCAGCAGGGCCUCAGCUAGGGGGACUAGAGCCCACCUGUUCCCCAUCCCUGGUGAUCAUGGCCUCUCUCCCAGGUUGCCCAUCAUCCUGGUAGGCAAUAAGUCAGACCUGCGGCCAGGGAGUACCAUAGAGGCUGUGUUGCCCAUUAUGAGCCAGUUUCCUGAGAUAGAGACCUGUGUGGAGGUGAGUGGGGAGGUUACAGAGGAGGGCUGUGGUAAGACCCUGAGGUAGGUCCCUAGAUCUGUCAUGGGUCCUUCCUGAGUCGGUCCUCACCCUUGUCCAGUGUUCUGCCAAGCACUUGAGGAAUAUCUCAGAGCUGUUCUACUAUGCCCAGAAGGCUGUUCUGCAUCCCACCGCUCCCCUUUAUGACCCUGAGGCCAAACAGUUAAGGCCUGCCUGCGCCCAGGCACUCACACGCAUCU
rnacentral:lncRNA from 1 species